CGAAAGUUAGGAGGUUCGAAGGCGAUCAGAUACCGCCCUAGUUCUAACCAUAAACGAUGCCAACUAGCGAUCCGCCUGAGUUCCUCAAAUGACUCGGCGGGCAGCUUCCGGGAAACCAAAGUGUUUGGGUUCCGGGGGAAGUAUGGUUGCAAAGCUGAAACUUAAAGGAAUUGACGGAAGGGCACCACCAGGAGUGGAGCCUGCGGCUUAAUUUGACUCAACACGGGAAAACUUACCCGGCCCGGACACUGGAAGGAUUGACAGAUUAAGAGCUCUUUCUUGAUUCAGUGGGUGGUGGUGCAUGGCCGUUCUUAGUUGGUGGAGCGAUUUGUCUGGUUAAUUCCGAUAACGAACGAGACUCUAGCCUACUAAAUAGGCGUUCCGAUCCUUUAUGUCGGACGUUCUUCUUAGAGGGACAAGCGGCUUUUAGCCGCACGAGACAGAGCAAUAACAGGUCUGUGAUGCCCUUAGAUGUCCGGGGCCGCACGCGCGCUACACUGAAGGAAUCAGCGUGUGCUUUCCCUGUCUGUUAGGACUGGGUAACCCGUUAAACCUCCUUCGUGAUAGGGAUAGGGAUUUGUAAUUGUUCCCUUGAACGAGGAAUUCCCAGUAAGCACGAGUCAUAAGCUCGUGUUGAUUACGUCCCUGCCCUUUGUACACACCGCCCGUCGCUACUACCGAUUGAAUGAUUUAGUGAGGUCUUCGGACUGGCGCUCGUAGCGACCUUUGGCCGCGCCGACGUGCCGGAAAGAUGACCAAACUUGAUCAUUUAGAGGAAGUAAAAGU
rnacentral:rRNA from 1 species